UUGGAAUCGGCUUGCAUUUUAUUCAGUUGUGUGUGUUAUAAUCAUUCUGUCCAAAGGACACUAUCGCUUUGCAAGUGGUGCAAGGUAGUUUUAAGGAGGAACAUUUAAGUAUGACAGGAACAGUAAAGUGGUUCAACGGAACAAAAGGUUAUGGAUUCAUUACUAAGGAUGACGGUGGGGACGUUUUCGUUCACUUCUCAGCUAUUGAGAUGGACGGUUUCAAGACCCUUGACGAAGGACAGAGAGUCGAAUUCGAAGUCGAAGACGGUCCAAAGGGUCCUCAGGCAGCAAAAGUUAGAAUUGCGAAGUAAUCGAUUGUCCAUAUAAGGAACCCGAUCGCCCGCUUUCAGCGGGCGAUUUUUU
rnacentral:sRNA from 1 species